rnacentral:rRNA from 1 species
GACGAACGCUGGCGGCGUGCUUAACACAUGCAAGUCGAACGGAAAGGCCCUGCUUUUGUGGGGUGCUCGAGUGGCGAACGGGUGAGUAACACGUGAGUAACCUGCCCUUGACUUUGGGAUAACUUCAGGAAACUGGGGCUAAUACCGGAUAGGAGCUCCUGCUGCAUGGUGGGGGUUGGAAAGUUUCGGAGGUUGGGGAUGGACUCGCGGCUUAUCAGCUUGUUGGUGGGGUAGUGGCUUACCAAGGCUUUGACGGGUAGCCGGCCUUAGAGGGUGACCGGCCACAUUGGGACUGAGAUACGGCCCAGACUCCUACGGGAGGCAGAAGUGGGGAAUAUUGCACAAUGGGCGGAAGCCUGAUGCAGCAACGCCGCGUGCGGGAUGACGGCCUUCGGGUUGUAAACCGCUUUCGCCUGUGACGAAGAGUGAGUGACGGUAAUGGGUAAAGAAGCACCGGCUAACUACGUG